AAAAACAGCUUCAGUUCCAUUUAUCAUGGGAAAGGUAGCGUUGCCUUGGUGAAUGACACACUUAUUGCUUUAAGUAAAAAUGGGCCUUUUCUCAGCCCCAUAGUGUCAACGGGAGUUUUAAGCAUUGCAAAACAGAAACUUCAUAGACAUGUGUUAUAAUGCUUAAGUUUGAAAUUUAACCCUGUUUGCAGGGACUGGCUGUAUUGCUCCAAGAUUUCAGAUAUAUUUAAACUCCUCAAGGACUCGGUCAUUUGCUCAUUGAUUCUCAACCUUUCUGUGCUCCCUCAGCUCUCAGUGCGCCCCUCAAUUGUGAUUCAGCCCACAUCCCUGCAUUGAGCCUGACAUUAGGAAAUGGAGGGAUUGCACAGGCACAGUGACCACCACCAGGCAACGCCAAGCUGAGCAGGGCAGGCAGCAAAAGCACAUCAAGAACACUGUCUUAGGCUCGCCAGGCAAAUGGAAGAUUUGGAGACAUCCCAUCUGCCCUAGAUAAACUUUUGCAUAACAAAUGGUGCCAAGAUACUGGGGCCAUGAAAGGUCUGUAAAACAGGAUCAGUCUGAGCAUUCAAGGAAAGGGGAUUCUUAGGAACUACCAUGAGUUCACCUAGCUCCCUUCAUCAACUUCUUUUUCCAGAUCUAUUUGGAAAUUAGUGAUUGAGAGUGAAGCCCGCCACCUCUGGGCCCAUGCAGUUGUGUGUUGUGGAUCCAUUGGCUGUGUGUGAGCAGGAACAGAUGGGGUCAACCAGUGCCAUGAAGCAAAUAAGAACAAAGGAGAAACUUACAGAGUAAGAAAUUGAGGAAGCUCUGGGACAUGAAAUAGCUUGCCCACAAUUCUCAUGGCUAGUUGGUGCAUAGCAGAGAUUACAUCCAUAGUGUUUUGAGCAUUCUUUAAACAUGAAUUUCUCUGAAGAAGAUUGCAUUACCAUUUUUCAAAACAAACUUCAUUUCACAAGCCACACACCCCAACCCUCUGCACCAAGAUGCCCA
rnacentral:lncRNA from 1 species